ACGCUCCGGUGGCCUAGUGGUUAAAGCAUCUGCCUCAGAUGUGGAAGGUCGUGGAUUCGAUCCCCGGUCCUGUCAUA